CCUACGGGUGGCAGCAGUGGGGAAUAUUGCGCAAUGGGCGAAAGCCUGACGCAGCGACGCCGCGUGAGGGAUGAAGGUCUUCGGAUCGUAAACCUCUGUCAGCAGGGAAGAACGGUCACUGUGCUAAUCAGCAGUGAAUUGACGGUACCUGCAAAGGAAGCACCGGCUAACUCCGUGCCAGCAGCCGCGGUAAUACGGAGGGUGCGAGCGUUAAUCGGAAUUACUGGGCGUAAAGCGCUCGUAGGCGGUAUGGCAAGUCAAGGGUGAAAGCCCCGCGCUCAACGUGGGAACUGCCUUUGAAACUGGCAAACUGGAGUGUGUGAGAGGAGAGUGGAAUUCCAGGGGUAGGAGUGAAAUCCGUAGAUAUCUGGAGGAACAUCAGUGGCGAAGGCGACUAUCUGGCACAUAACUGACGCUGAGGAGCGAAAGCGUGGGUAGCAAACAGGAUUAGAUACCCGGGUAGUC
rnacentral:rRNA from 1 species